GUUUCCUGAAUACUAACCAUCUUCAGCACCUUUCUCACUGCAACUCCCAUCAGCCAUCGCUUCAGUUCUCACAGCUGAUCUUCAUCAUCCUCAUCAGAACCAUCAGCAUUUAUGCCCACUCCAGCGUGAAGUCUUGAUUGUGUUUCCCUUAAGACUUGUAUUUCUACCUCAAGACACGUCAUGUUUGUCCAUCUUCCAUCCACAUCUGUAAAAGCAGUUUUGAAUAAAGUUUUAGGAAAAGACAUCUUCACAACCCAAGUGACUUUUGCGUCAUCAGUAUCUUGGUUAAUCAUAAUAAAAUCAGCUUCUUCUAGAUCCCAAAGUAAACGUGCUGGUAGGCGUGUGCAAACUGCAGACGGAUCCCAUCUCUGGAAACUGGAGGUACAAUCGUCCAUUCAUCCAGAUGACUGUUUUUUACCGACCAGAUCUUUUCAGCUCCUCAUCUUCACGAUGAAGUCACAAGUGUUCCUGCCUUAAAACACAAAUAACUUCAAAGAACAUUGCCAUGGAAACUGUUCAGUGCACAGAUGUCUAUAAGUAAAGGUAAACAGGCAGAGCCAGGCUUCUCCUGUGAUAUUAUCAUAGAUUAUCCACGGUGUUAUGAGCAGGAUGUGGUUUUAUUAAAGCACCUAAUGCUGAACAGAGAUAUGCUG